rfam:Kluyvera intermedia strain CAV1151, complete genome.
CAAGACGAUCCGGAACGUGUAACUUUCUUUUCGCAUAAUUCAGGUCAUUCACCUUGAAUAAUUGAGGGAUGACCUCAUUUAAUCUCCAGUAGCAAUUUUGACCUGUUAUGGGGGGAGUUAUGCGUCUGGAUCGUCUUAC